GGUGGGGAUGGAUCACCUCCUUCUAAGGAC
rnacentral:misc_RNA from 1 species